GCAAGCCUCCCCAUACCAGUGAGAAUACCCUUAAGUAUCUAAAAUGAUUGUAAGGAGUAGGUAUCAAGCGCACUAGCGUUGCUCAAGACACCUUGCUUAGCCACACCCCCACGGGAAACAGCAGUGAUAAAAAUUAGGCAAUGAACGAAAGUUUGACCUAGUUAUACUAUUCAGGGUUGGUCAAUUUCGUGCCAGCCACCGCGGUCAUACGAUUAACCCACAUUAAUGAAUUCACGGCGUAAAGCGUGUUUAGAGAACCCCCCCCCCCAAUAAGGCUAAACUCCGACUAAUAUGUAGAAAUUCAUAGUCUGAAGUAAAAUAAACUACAAAAGUGGUCUUAAAAUUCUUGAAGACACGAUAGCUAGGGGACAAACUGGGAUUAGAUACCCCAUUAUGCCUAGCCCUAAACAGAGAUAGCCAACUAAUAAGGCUACCCGCCAGAGAACUACUAGCAACUGCUUAAAACUCAAAGGACUUGGCGGUACUUUAUAUCCACCUAGAGGAGCCUGUUCUAUAACCGAUACACCCCGUUCUACCUCACCACUUCUUGCUAAUUCAGCCUGUAUACCGCCAUCUUCAGCGAACCCUUAUAGGGAAAAAAAGUAAGCUCAAUAAUUACCCAUAAAAACGUUAGGUCAAGGUGUAGCUUAUGAAGUGGAAAGCAAUGGGCUACAUUUUCUCUCUCGAGAACAUAACGAUACCCUUCUUGAAACAGAAGGAAUAAGGAGGAUUUAGUAGUAAAUUAAGAGUAGAGUGCUUAAUUG
rnacentral:rRNA from 1 species